AACGAGAAAAAGAACUUGAGGCAACAUGGCUUUCGGUGGACCUCCAACGUGGAAAGUAGAUCACAAAUGGGCAUAUAUGAUUCCCACAUUUUCUGUGGAAUGCAUAGCGCAUCUUUGCUUGGGGUGAUCUCAAGAGGUUCUUGCUUAACUUGCGACGCGCCAGCGAUCUUUCCCCUCCUCUGCUCCUCGUCCUGCCUGGCCCGCGCGAAAUUCAAUCUCCCGGCCAUUGAUUGCGAGUCUUGCGUGGGAUUCGUGUCUCCAUUGCCUCAGAUUCCUAGCUCGCCCCGACUUGCAUUCCGCUCAAUCCCUUCACCAAAGCCCUCCCCUAUCCACAUCGCCAGGAAUUUGGUCUGAAUUUCUUGCUGACCGCAGGUAACGCGAGAGCUUCCACAUUCCGGGAGCUGAUCGGCCAUGCCAAGGAGGAGAAAGACGCCCAGAGAGGAUGAGAAAGGAUCUUCUCCACCUUCGUCAAGCGGAGCUUCUCCACAGCCGCCGCCCCGUGCCGCCGCGAGCUCCAGCUCAAGCUCCACUCCGCCACCGCAAGCUUCACAAGAUGCUUUAGCCAUGGCCAGGCAUCCACAAUACUCGCAGCAUUACCAAGUAGGAGGAACUAGUGGUGGAAGGAGUGGAGGUCAGUAUAGUCAAUCAAGUAGUGGCCGUGGAGGAGGAGGAACGGGAGGAUAUCAUGGGCAGCAGCAGCCACAGCAUCAGCAACAGCCGCGACAAGCUCCAGCAGUGAGCGCACUGGUUGAGCAAUUUUCUGGAUUGGGUGUGGAAGUUUCAGUUCCUGCGCAACCAGCGCCACCGCAGCCGAGCGUCGUAGCUCCUCCAGCGUCUAUCAAGGCCUUGAGAUUUCCGCUGAGGCCCGGACGCGGCCAAACGGGGGUUAAGUGCAUUGUCAAGGUGAAUCACUUCUUGGCAGAGCUACCAGACAAGGAUCUACACCACUAUGAUGUGACGAUCACUCCCGAGGUGACAUCGCGUGGUGUGAAUCGAGCGGUCAUGGAGCAGCUGGUUAAGCUUCACAGGGAUUCCAGUUUGGGUCACAGGCUCCCAGUGUAUGAUGGCCGGAAAAGCCUGUACACUGCUGGGCCUUUACCCUUCCAUUAUAAGGACUUUCAGGUAAGUCUGCCGGAGGAAGAUACACCAGUGUAGCUUAGCUUUUCUUUUCUUUUACAGCAUACUGAAGAAAAGCAUAAAAUAUCUUUCAGGUGAUCUGCAUCAUCUUGGCCAGUUUCUGGCCGGGAGGCAAGCAGAUGCUCCUCAAGAGGCCUUGCAAGUGCUGGACAUAGUGCUGCGAGAGCUUCCUACCCAUAGGUAUUCGCCUGUUGGACGAUCGUUUUAUUCACCAGACUUAGGACGUAGACAACCCCUCGGUGACGGCUUAGAAAGCUGGCCAGGGUUCUACCAGAGUUUAGGCCCACGCAAAUGCGUCUUUCUCUGAAUAUUGACAUGUCAUCUACUGCUUUCAUUGAGCCGCUGCCCGUGGUGGACUUUGUUGGCAAACUCCUUAACAAGGACAUAAGCAGGCCACUUUCGGACGCUGACCGCAUCAAGAUCAAAAAAGCUCUGAGAGGGGUCAAAGUGGAAGUUACACAUCGCGGAACCAUGCGACGAAAAUACAGGAUUUCUGGCUUAACUUCUCAGCCUACUCAAGAACUAAUGUUUCCUGUUGAUGAUAGAGGUACAAUGAAAUCGGUAAUGGAGUAUUUCCGAGAUACAUAUCACUACACUAUACGAAGCCCAUCUUUACCUUGUUUACAAGUUGGAAAUCAAGAAAGACCAAAUUAUCUGCCAAUGGAGGUCUGCAAAAUUGUGGAAGGACAAAGGUAUACUAAACGUCUCAACGAGCGUCAAGUGACAGCCCUUCUAAAAGUAACAUGCCAACGGCCCAGGGAAAGAGAGCGCGAUAUUUUGCAAACUGUUUAUCAUAAUGCAUAUAAUCAAGACCCAUACGCCCAGGAGUUUGGGAUGCGUAUCAGUGACAGACUGGCUCUCGUGGAAGCUAGAAUACUGCCUGCCCCAUGGCUGAAAUAUCAUGAAAAGGAUUGCUUGCCUCAAGACGGGACCUGGAAUAUGAUGAACAAGAAAAUGGUCGAUGGAGGGACAGUGAACUACUGGGCAUGCGUCAAUUUCUCUCGUACUGUUCAAGAUAAUAUAGCUCGGGGAUUUUGUAACGACCUUGCUCAGAUGUGUCUUAUUUCCGGAAUGGCGUUUGCUGCUGAACCUAUCAUUCCAGUUCAUGCUGCACGCCCAGACCAGGUAGAACGUGCUCUGAAGUCGGUAUAUCGUGAAGUUCAAAGCAAGGUCAAAGGAAAGGAAUUAGAGUUACUAAUUGCCAUAUUACCCGACAACAAUGGCUCACUUUAUGGCGACUUGAAACGAAUCUGCGAAACAGACCUGGGAUUGGUUUCUCAAUGCUGCUUGACAAAGCAUGUCUUUAAGAGAGGAAAGCAGUAUCUUGCUAAUGUUGCGUUGAAAAUCAAUGUCAAGGUCGGAGGCAGAAACACUGUCUUGGUGGAUGCACUAUCACGGAGGCUUCCUUUAGUAAGUGAUACACCAACAAUUAUAUUUGGAGCGGAUGUUACGCAUCCUCAUCCUGGAGAAGAUUCGAGUCCCUCGAUUGCAGCGGUUGUCGCUUCUCAGGAUUGGCCAGAAGUCACGAAAUACGCAGGUCUAGUGUGCGCUCAAGCUCACAGACAAGAGUUGAUCCAAGAUCUGUAUAAAACAUGGGUUGAUCCUCAGAAGGGAACCAUGAAUGGCGGUAUGAUAAGAGAGCUUUUGAUUUCCUUCCGAAGUGCCUCUGGAUACAAACCUGGAAGAAUCAUCUUCUACAGAGAUGGUGUGAGCGAAGGACAGUUCUACCAAGUUCUCCUUCACGAGUUGGAUGCAAUUAGAAAGGCUUGCGCGUCACUCGAGCCGAACUAUCAGCCUCUCGUGACGUUCGUUGUGGUCCAGAAACGGCACCACACCCGGCUAUUUGCUAACGAUCACGACGAUACAAGAACCAUUGAUAAGAGUGGAAAUAUCCUGCCAGGCACUGUGGUGGAUUCGAAGAUUUGCCAUCCAACGGAGUUUGACUUCUACCUUUGCAGCCAUGCCGGCAUUCAGGGAACAAGCAGACCAGCUCACUAUCACGUACUUUGGGACGAGAACAAGUUCACUGCCGAUGGCUUGCAGUCCCUCACCAACAGCCUGUGCUACACUUACGCUCGCUGCACACGCUCAGUCUCGAUAGUACCACCUGCAUACUACGCUCACCUGGCUGCGUUCCGCGCGAGAUUCUACAUGGAGCCGGACGCGUCCGAGGCUGGCUCCGUCCACCGGAACACUGCUCCCCGAGCUGGUAAUCGCCAGGAUGGCUCCAUCCGGCCGCUGCCCGCGUUGAAGGACAAGGUUAAGAAGGUCAUGUUCUACUGCUAGUCAGUAUGCUACUACUCUCUUUUGCUUUUAUCUCGCGUUUUUAAUCUAUCUGACUCCUGUUGCUUUCGCAUA